rnacentral:sRNA from 1 species
AAUGCUUUGUCGAGCGAAUCCCAAGUGAUUCACUGGAAAUCGGAUUGACACUGACGGAAAUUUAUGCUAAUAUCAAACUGUAACAAAUUUUUAUCUAUCUCAAGUAGGAGGAUUUUAAAGAAUGAAAAAAGGUACAGUAAAAUGGUUUAACGCAGAAAAAGGUUUUGGUUUCAUCUCCGUACCUGGUGAAGACGAUGUAUUCGUACAUUUCUCCGCAAUUCAGGCUGAAGGCUACAAAACACUGGAAGAAGGCCAGGAAGUUGAAUUUGAAGUAGUACAGGGUGCAAAAGGCCCUCAGGCUGCAAACGUAACACGUGCUUAAUCGAUUUUCUUUAUUUGACCUAAGUGCGAAAGCAUUCAGACAUAUAUUU